GACGAACGCUGGCGGCGUGCCUAAUACAUGCAAGUAGAACGCUGUCGCGAACGGGUGAGUAACGCGUAGGUAACUGCCUCAUAGCGGGGGAUAACUAUUGGAAACGAUAGCCAAUACCGCAUACUGUUAGAUGGACCUGCGUUGUAUUAGCUAGUUGGUGAGGUAAAGGCUCACCAAGGCGACGAUACAUAGCCGACCUGAGAGGGUGAGCGGCCAAGGUGGGAAUGAGACACGGCCCAGGAUCCUGCGGGAGGCUGCAGUAGGGAUUCUGCGGGAAAGGACGGAAGUCUGACCGGGCAGCGCAGCGUGGGGGAAGAAAGUUUUCGGAUCGGAAAAGUCUGUGAUUAGAGAAGCGGUAACUAAGCAGAAAGAGGCGGCUAACUACGUGCCAGUCGCCGCGGUAAUUC
rnacentral:rRNA from 1 species